AGGAAGAAAGCAAGAAGAAAAAGAAAAAAGACUGAUCGACUGACUGACUUGGCACGUUUCGUGUUAACAACUCUCUCUUUGCUUGGUUCUCUUAGCUUUCUUUCCUUUUUUCA
rnacentral:ribozyme from 11 species